rnacentral:tRNA from 1 species
AUUUAUAUGGCUUAAAGAGAGUAUUAUAGUGAAGUUAUAAAGGUGAUUAAAUUAUCUAUAAAUA